CUACGUAGGGGGCGAGCGUUGUCCGGAAUGAUUGGGCGUAAAGGGCGCGUAGGCGGCGCGGUAAGUCUGGAGUGAAAGUCCUGCUUUCAAGGUGGGAAUUGCUUUGGAUACUGCCGCGCUUGAGUGCAGGAGAGGUUAUCGGAAUUCCCGGUGUAGCGGUGAAAUGCGUAGAGAUCGGGAGGAACACCAGUGGCGAAGGCGGGUAACUGGACUGCAACUGACGCUGAGGCGCGAAAAUGUGGGGAGCAAACAGGAUUAGAUACCCUGGUAGUCCACACUGUAAACGAUGAAUGCUAGGUGUAAGAGGUAUCGACCCCUUUUGUGCCGGAGUCAACACAAUAAGCAUUCCGCCUGGGGAGUACGGCCGCAAGGUUGAAACUCAAAUGAAUUGACGGGG
rnacentral:rRNA from 1 species